rnacentral:lncRNA from 1 species
GCCUUUUCUUUACGCCUUUGACAACUUCGACACAACUUCUAGAAAAGGGGCAAAGCUGAGCCUGCUACCCCUGGGUGGAAGAAGACUGGCUGGCAUCAAAAUCAAGAGCAUUCAAGAGCUAAUAUGAAAAUAAGGCUGGAGAAGUUGUGGGAAAAGUUCCUGUGGCCAUGAGACACAGUUGUUUGAUUCUUAGCCUCUUUCUCCAAAUGAUCUAGUUUACUAAGAAGAAUUUGGGCUUCCUCUAUGGGAGACAGUAUCCCGUGGCCAUGAAAGGCUGCCAUUUUGUGGGCUGCCUACUGAGAGAGCCCCAUGAGGACAACCUCCAGCUGACAGCAAGAAACCAAGGCUCUAGUUAGAGAGCCCAUGAGAAACUGAAUCCUGCCAAUCACACGGGCUUGGGAACAAAUCCUCCUCCCAUCCAGCCUCAGCCAUGUGAAGAUGUGCCUGAUCCCUUUCCUUCUGCCACGAUUGUAAGUUUCCUAAGGCCUCCCCAGAAGC